rnacentral:rRNA from 1 species
GGGGGACGGGUGAGUAACGCGUGGGUAACCUGCCUCAUACAGGGGAAUAGCAGCUGGAAACGGCUGAUAAAACCGCAUAAGCGCACAGUGCCGCAUGGCACAGUGUGAAAAACUCCGGUGGUAUGAGAUGGACCCGCGUCUGAUUAGCUGGUUGGCGGGGUAACGGCCCACCAAGGCGACGAUCAGUAGCCGGCCUGAGAGGGUGAUCGGCCACAUUGGGACUGAGACACGGCCCAAACUCC